rnacentral:rRNA from 1 species
GAUCAACGCUGGCGGCGUGCCUAAUGCAUGCAAGUCGCACGGGGGUGUCUUCGGACACCUUACGUGGCGGACGGGUGAGGAACACGUGGGUAACCUGCCCGGUGGUGGGGGCUAGCCUUCGGAAACGGAGGGUAAUUCCGCAUGAGCUCGGGGGCCGAGUGGGGUCGCUGAGGAAAGCUCGCAAGAGCGCCGCCGGAGGGGUCUGCGUCCGAUUAGUUAGUUGGUGGGGUAAUGGCUCACCAAGGCGAUGAUCGGUAGCUGGUUUGAGAGGAUGAUCAGCCACACGGGGACUGAGACACGGCCCCGACUCCUACGGGAGGCAGCAGCAAGGAAUUUUCCGCAAUGGGCGCAAGCCUGACGGAGCAACGCCGCGUGCGGGAUGACGCGUUUCGGCGUGUAAACCGCUGUUCGUGGGGACGAAGCACUGACGGUACCCACGGAGGAAGGCCCGGCUAACUACGUG